GACGAACGCUGGCGGCGUGCCUAAUACAUGCAAGUUGAGCGCUGAAGGUUGGUACUUGUACCAACUGGAUGAGCAGCGAACGGGUGAGUAACGCGUGGGGAAUCUGCCUUUGAGCGGGGGACAACAUUUGGAAACGAAUGCUAAUACCGCAUAAAAACUUUAAACACAAGUUUUAAGUUUGAAAGAUGCAAUUGCAUCACUCAAAGAUGAUCCCGCGUUGUAUUAGCUAGUUGGUGAGGUAAAGGCUCACCAAGGCGAUGAUACAUAGCCGACCUGAGAGGGUUAUCGGCCACAUUGGGACUGAGACACGGCCCAAACUCCUACGGGAAGCAGCAGUAGGGAAUCUUCGGCAAUGGACGGAAGUCUGACCGGGCAACGCCGCGUGAGUGAAGAAGGUUUUCGGAUCGUAAAACUCUGUUGGUAGAGAAGAACGUUGGUUAGAGUGGAAAGCUCAUCAAGUGACGGUAACUACCCAGAAAGGGACGGCUAACUACGUG
rnacentral:rRNA from 1 species